rnacentral:rRNA from 1 species
AGUCGAGGGGCAGCAUUUCAGUUUGCUUGCAAACUGGAGAUGGCGACCGGCGCACGGGUGAGUAACACGCUAUCCAACCUGCCGAUAACUCGGGGAUAGCCUUUCGAAAGAAAGAUUAAUACCCGAUGGUAUAAUCANACCGCAUGGUCUUGUUAUUAAAGAAUUUCGGUUAUCGAUGGGGAUGCGUUCCAUUAGGCAGUUGGUGAGGUAACGGCUCACCAAACCUUCGAUGGAUAGGGGUUCUGAGAGGAAGGUCCCCCACAUUGGAACUGAGACACGGUCCAAACUCNUACGGGAGGCAGCAGUGAGGAAUUUUGUUCAAUGGGCGCAGGCCUGAACCAGCCAAGUAGCGUGAAGGAUGACUGCCCUAUNGGGUUGUAAACUUUUUUUAUAUGGGAAUAAAGUUUUCCCACGUGUGGAAUUUUGUAUGUACCAUAUGAAUAAGGAUCGGCUAACUCCGUGCCAGCAGCCGCGGUAAUACGGAGGAUCCGAGCGUUAUCCGGAUUUAUUGGGUUUAAAGGGAGCGUAGGUGGACAGUUAAGUCAGUUGUGAAAGUUUGCGGCUCAACCGUAAAAUUGCAGUUGAUACUGGCUGUCUUGAGUACAGUAGAGGUGGGCGGAAUUCGUGGUGUAGCGGUGAAAUGCUUAGAUAUCACGAAGAACUCCGAUUGCGAAGGCAGCUCACUGGACUGCAACUGACACUGAUGCUCGAAAGUGUGGGUAUCAAACAGGAUUAGAUACCCUGGUAGUCCACACAGUAAACGAUGAAUACUCGCUGUUUGCGAUAUACAGUAAGCGGCCAAGCGAAAGCAUUAAGUAUUCCACCUGGGGAGUACGCCGGCAACGGUGAAACUCAAAGGAAUUGACGGGGGCCCGCACAAGCGGAGGAACAUGUGGUUUAAUUCGAUGAUACGCGAGGAACCUUACCCNGGGCUUAAAUUGCAUUUGAAUAUAUUGGAAACAGUAUAGCCGUAAGGCAAAUGUGAAGGUGCUGCAUGGUUGUCGUCAGCUCUUGCCGUGAGGUGUCGGCUUAAGUGCCAUAACGAGCGCAACCCUUAUCUUUAGUUACUAACAGGUCAUGCUGAGGACUCUAGAGAGACUGCCGUCGUAAGAUGUGAGGAAGGUGGGGAUGACGUCAAAUCAGCACGGCCCUUACGUCCGGGGCUACACACGUGUUACAAUGGGGGGUACAGAAGGCAGCUACCUCAUGACAGGAUGCUAAUCCCAAAAGCCUCUCUCAGUUCGGAUCGAAGUCUGCAACCCGACUUCGUGAAGCUGGAUUCGCUAGUAAUCGCGCAUCAGCCAUGGCGCGGUGAAUACGUUCCCGGGCCUUGUACACACCGCCCGUCAAGCCAUGAAAGCCGGGGGUACCUGAAGUACGUAACCGCAAGGAGCUCCUAGG